UUUCCGUAGGUGAACCUGCGGAAGGAUCAUCAUAGGAAAAAAAAUUCUUUUUUUUUCUAUAGACUUACACCCCUUUGUGCUCUUUUUCGAGGUCUGAAAAGGCCUCGUUUAACUUUUUUUUUACAAAACAACCUUUUAUACCUAUUUACCAUAAUACACCUUUAUAAAUAACCAAAAGACAACUUUUAACAACGGAUCUCUUGGCUCUC
rnacentral:misc_RNA from 1 species